rnacentral:rRNA from 1 species
GACGAACGCUGGCGGCGUGCUUAACACAUGCAAGUCGAACGAAGAGCGAUGGAAGCUUGCUUCUAUCAAUCUUAGUGGCGAACGGGUGAGUAACGCGUAAUCAACCUGCCCUUCAGAGGGGGACAACAGUUGGAAACGACUGCUAAUACCGCAUACGAUCUAAUCUCGGCAUCGAGGAUAGAUGAAAGGUGGCCUCUACAUGUAAGCUAUCACUGAAGGAGGGGAUUGCGUCUGAUUAGCUAGUUGGAGGGGUAACGGCCCACCAAGGCGAUGAUCAGUAGCCGGUCUGAGAGGAUGAACGGCCACAUUGGGACUGAGACACGGCCCAGACUCCUACGGGAGGCAGCAGUGGGGAAUCUUCCGCAAUGGACGAAAGUCUGACGGAGCAACGCCGCGUGAGCGAUGACGGCCUUCGGGUUGUAAAGCUCUGUUAAUCGGGGCGAAAGGCCUUCUUGCGAAUAGUGAGAAGGAUUGACGGUACCGGAAAAGAAAGCCACGGCUAACUACGUG